CCUACGGGAGGCAGCAGUGAGGAAUAUUGGUCCAUGGGCGGGAGCCUGAACCAGCCAAGUCGCGUGAGGGAAGACGGUCCUAUGGAUUGUAAACCUCUGUAGUCGGGGAGCAAUGCCGGGGACUCGUGCCCGGAGGGAGAGUACCCGCAGCAUAAGCAUCGGCUAACUCCGUGCUAGCAGCCGCGGUAAUACGGGGGAUGCGAGCGUUCUCCGGAUUUAGUGUGUUUACAGGUUGCGUAGGCGGAAUGCCAAGUCAGCGGUAAAAUCGCGGGGCUCAACCUCGCUACGUCGUUGAAACUGGCGUUCUUGAGUGGGCGAGAAGUAUGCGGAAUGCGAGGUGUAGCGGUGAAAUGCAUAGAUAUCACGCAGAACUCCGAUUGCGAAGGCAGCAUACCGGCGCCCAACUGACGCUGAAGCACGAAAGCGUGGGUAUCGAACAGGAUUAGAUACCCGUGUAGUC
rnacentral:rRNA from 1 species